rnacentral:tmRNA from 3 species
GGGGGUGCCCUGGUUUCGACGGGUUGCUAGAAGUUUUGUGGGCGUGUCCAGGCUGGUGUCCAAGGUCCUGGUUAAAAGGAGACCAAACCAUAAUUGCAGAAUCUAAUUUUGCUCCAGCUAUGGCCGCUUAAUUUAAUUAACGCCGCCGCUUUAAGUAGCUUGAGGGGUUAGCAUCCAAUAAACAGAAGCUAACAUCCCAGUGGUAACAACUGGCUAACUUGUUACGCAGCAACUGCCAUGCAAUGCUGUUGAAAAAACAAGUGGGGUUUGUCGAGUUCGCGUAAUUCGAACAGUCUUGUCUUCUGACGAUAAAUGAAGACUACGCACGUAGUCCGCACUAUGGAAAUCAACUCGGACGCGGGUUCGAUUCCCGCCACCUCCACCA